rnacentral:rRNA from 1 species
GGUUAAGCGACUAAGCGUACACGGUGGAUGCCCUGGCAGUCAGAGGCGAUGAAGGACGUGCUAAUCUGCGAUAAGCGUCGGUAAGGUGAUAUGAACCGUUAUAACCGGCGAUUUCCGAAUGGGGAAACCCAGUGUGUUUCGACACACUAUCAUUAACUGAAUCCAUAGGUUAAUGAGGCGAACCGGGGGAACUGAAACAUCUAAGUACCCCGAGGAAAAGAAAUCAACCGAGAUUCCCCCAGUAGCGGCGAGCGAACGGGGAGCAGCCCAGAGCCUGAAUCAGUGUGUGUGUUAGUGGAAGCGUCUGGAAAGGCGCGCGAUACAGGGUGACAGCCCCGUACACAAAAAUGCACAUGCUGUGAGCUCGAUGAGUAGGGCGGGACACGUGGUAUCCUGUCUGAAUAUGGGGGGACCAUCCUCCAAGGCUAAAUACUCCUGACUGACCGAUAGUGAACCAGUACCGUGAGGGAAAGGCGAAAAGAACCCCGGCGAGGGGAGUGAAAAAGAACCUGAAACCGUGUACGUACAAGCAGUGGGAGCCUCUUUUAUGGGGUGACUGCGUACCUUUUGUAUAAUGGGUCAGCGACUUAUAUUCUGUAGCAAGGUUAACCGAAUAGGGGAGCCGAAGGGAAACCGAGUCUUAACUGGGCGUUAAGUUGCAGGGUAUAGACCCGAAACCCGGUGAUCUAGCCAUGGGCAGGUUGAAGGUUGGGUAACACUAACUGGAGGACCGAACCGACUAAUGUUGAAAAAUUAGCGGAUGACUUGUGGCUGGGGGUGAAAGGCCAAUCAAACCGGGAGAUAGCUGGUUCUCCCCGAAAGCUAUUUAGGUAGCGCCUCGUGAAUUCAUCUCCGGGGGUAGAGCACUGUUUCGGCAAGGGGGUCAUCCCGACUUACCAACCCGAUGCAAACUGCGAAUACCGGAGAAUGUUAUCACGGGAGACACACGGCGGGUGCUAACGUCCGUCGUGAAGAGGGAAACAACCCAGACCGCCAGCUAAGGUCCCAAAGUCAUGGUUAAGUGGGAAACGAUGUGGGAAGGCCCAGACAGCCAGGAUGUUGGCUUAGAAGCAGCCAUCAUUUAAAGAAAGCGUAAUAGCUCACUGGUCGAGUCGGCCUGCGCGGAAGAUGUAACGGGGCUAAACCAUGCACCGAAGCUGCGGCAGCGACGCUUAUGCGUUGUUGGGUAGGGGAGCGUUCUGUAAGCCUGUGAAGGUGUGCUGUGAGGCAUGCUGGAGGUAUCAGAAGUGCGAAUGCUGACAUAAGUAACGAUAAAGCGGGUGAAAAGCCCGCUCGCCGGAAGACCAAGGGUUCCUGUCCAACGUUAAUCGGGGCAGGGUGAGUCGACCCCUAAGGCGAGGCCGAAAGGCGUAGUCGAUGGGAAACAGGUUAAUAUUCCUGUACUUGGUGUUACUGCGAAGGGGGGACGGAGAAGGCUAUGUUGGCCGGGCGACGGUUGUCCCGGUUUAAGCGUGUAGGCUGGUUUUCCAGGCAAAUCCGGAAAAUCAAGGCUGAGGCGUGAUGACGAGGCACUACGGUGCUGAAGCAACAAAUGCCCUGCUUCCAGGAAAAGCCUCUAAGCAUCAGGUAACAUCAAAUCGUACCCCAAACCGACACAGGUGGUCAGGUAGAGAAUACCAAGGCGCUUGAGAGAACUCGGGUGAAGGAACUAGGCAAAAUGGUGCCGUAACUUCGGGAGAAGGCACGCUGAUAUGUAGGUGAAGCGACUUGCUCGUGGAGCUGAAAUCAGUCGAAGAUACCAGCUGGCUGCAACUGUUUAUUAAAAACACAGCACUGUGCAAACACGAAAGUGGACGUAUACGGUGUGACGCCUGCCCGGUGCCGGAAGGUUAAUUGAUGGGGUUAGCGCAAGCGAAGCUCUUGAUCGAAGCCCCGGUAAACGGCGGCCGUAACUAUAACGGUCCUAAGGUAGCGAAAUUCCUUGUCGGGUAAGUUCCGACCUGCACGAAUGGCGUAAUGAUGGCCAGGCUGUCUCCACCCGAGACUCAGUGAAAUUGAACUCGCUGUGAAGAUGCAGUGUACCCGCGGCAAGACGGAAAGACCCCGUGAACCUUUACUAUAGCUUGACACUGAACAUUGAGCCUUGAUGUGUAGGAUAGGUGGGAGGCUUAGAAGUGUGGACGCCAGUCUGCAUGGAGCCGACCUUGAAAUACCACCCUUUAAUGUUUGAUGUUCUAACGUUGACCCGUAAUCCGGGUUGCGGACAGUGUCUGGUGGGUAGUUUGACUGGGGCGGUCUCCUCCUAAAGAGUAACGGAGGAGCACGAAGGUUGGCUAAUCCUGGUCGGACAUCAGGAGGUUAGUGCAAUGGCAUAAGCCAGCUUGACUGCGAGCGUGACGGCGCGAGCAGGUGCGAAAGCAGGUCAUAGUGAUCCGGUGGUUCUGAAUGGAAGGGCCAUCGCUCAACGGAUAAAAGGUACUCCGGGGAUAACAGGCUGAUACCGCCCAAGAGUUCAUAUCGACGGCGGUGUUUGGCACCUCGAUGUCGGCUCAUCACAUCCUGGGGCUGAAGUAGGUCCCAAGGGUAUGGCUGUUCGCCAUUUAAAGUGGUACGCGAGCUGGGUUUAGAACGUCGUGAGACAGUUCGGUCCCUAUCUGCCGUGGGCGCUGGAGAACUGAGGGGGGCUGCUCCUAGUACGAGAGGACCGGAGUGGACGCAUCACUGGUGUUCGGGUUGUCAUGCCAAUGGCACUGCCCGGUAGCUAAAUGCGGAAGAGAUAAGUGCUGAAAGCAUCUAAGCAUGAAACUUGCCCCGAGAUGAGUUCUCCCUGACCCUUUAAGGGUCCUGAAGGAACGUUGAAGACGACGACGUUGAUAGGCCGGGUGUGUAAGCGCAGCGAUGCGUUGAGCUAACCGGUACUAAUGAACCGUGAGGCUUAACCUU